rnacentral:misc_RNA from 1 species
GUUGGGUUUGUUACGGGUGGUUGGCUCUUUGCUUGUGCAACAACUUCCAUCUGACUUACCUUUUCAGUUUAUUGUCAAAUGCUUCUAAAGCAUUGGAUUAUUCAUGGGUUUCUUGUGUUGCCUACCUAUUUGAUGGAAUUGUCUAAUGACCUAUAAUUGGAUUUCAUGUUACAUCUUAAAUGUGGUGUGAGAUGAACCUUUAAGCGUUCUUUGUGACCCACAUCUUUAAUGCUUAUGCAUUAUUUGGUGUGGUUCAUUUUGAGUUGCUUGGUCUCUUGGAUAUGGAACUUGAUGUGGGCAUGGGGCUUUAUGAGCCCUUUUGUUGUCCUGUUUAAGCGUUCUUGCUUCUCUAAUACGAUUGUCUAUCACGUAUGGCACGUCUCAGCGUGGUAGGCUAUGUCGGAGAUGAAUGCUACCUGGUUGAUCCU